rnacentral:lncRNA from 1 species
GCGCAGCUUUAUACGACCGCAGAGGUUGAACCCUGAACGGUUGGGGCAAGUAUGGACACAACAUUCAAGCUGGAUACAGCUCUAAAUUUGGAUUGUGAUUAAAUAGUUGACACAGCAUAGGUUUCUGACACAGAAUGAAUGUGGUUUAAUGAACUUAAAAUUUUUUUUUUUGCCUUUGAGCAAUUCACUAUGCUGUUGAAUAUUAAUCCUCUCAAAAAAAUGUUUGAAGAAAUUUUCUUUUUAUUUAUGAAAUCUGAAAUGAGAAAAAUUUAACCCCCCCCCCUAUUUUUUUCACAUCCCCCUUUCCUUUUUUCAAAAACUGAUCUCAAUUCAAAUUUCUAAUGGAGUUUGCAACAAUAAGUACUCAUUUAAAUACAUCAUAAAAUAUUAAAAUGUAACAAAA